UAACCUGCCUGUAGCGGGGGAUAACUAUUGGAAACGAUAGCUAAUACCGCAUAACAGUAGAUGUUGCAUGACAUUUGCUUAAAAGGUGCAAUUGCAUCACUACCAGAUGGACCUGCGUUGUAUUAGCUAGUUGGUGGGGUAACGGCUCACCAAGGCGACGAUACAUAGCCGACCUGAGAGGGUGAUCGGCCACACUGGGACUGAGACACGGCCCAG
rnacentral:rRNA from 1 species